rnacentral:rRNA from 1 species
GAGUAAUGUCUGGGAAACUGCCUGAUGGAGGGGGAUAACUACUGGAAACGGUAGCUAAUACCGCAUAACGUCGCAAGACCAAAGAGGGGGACCUUCGGGCCUCUUGCCAUCGGAUGUGCCCAGAUGGGAUUAGCUUGUUGGUGGGGUAACGGCUCACCAAGGCGACGAUCCCUAGCUGGUCUGAGAGGAUGACCAGCCACACUGGAACUGAGACACGGUCCAGACUCCUACGGGAGGCAGCAGUGGGGAAUAUUGCACAAUGGGCGCAAGCCUGAUGCAGCCAUGCCGCGUGUAUGAAGAAGGCCUUCGGGUUGUAAAGUACUUUCAGCGGGGAGGAAGGGAGUAAAGUUAAUACCUUUGCUCAUUGACGUUACCCGCAGAAGAAGCACCGGCUAACUCCGUGCCAGCAGCCGCGGUAAUACGGAGGGUGCAAGCGUUAAUCGGAAUUACUGGGCGUAAAGCGCACGCAGGCGGUUUGUUAAGUCAGAUGUGAAAUCCCCGGGCUCAACCUGGGAACUGCAUCUGAUACUGGCAAGCUUGAGUCUCGUAGAGGGGGGUAGAAUUCCAGGUGUAGCGGUGAAAUGCGUAGAGAUCUGGAGGAAUACCGGUGGCGA